AGUGAACGCUGGCGGUAGGCCUAACACAUGCAAGUCGAACGGCAGCACAGUAAGAGCUUGCUCUUACGGGUGACGAGUGGCGGACGGGUGAGGAAUACAUCGGAAUCUACUUUUUCGUGGGGGAUAACGUAGGGAAACUUACGCUAAUACCGCAUACGACCUACGGGUGAAAGCAGGGGAUCUUCGGACCUUGCGCGAUUGAAUGAGCCGAUGUCGGAUUAGUUAGUUGGCGGGGUAAAGGCCCACCAAGGCGACGAUCCGUAGCUGGUCUGAGAGGAUGAUCAGCCACACUGGAACUGAGACACGGUCCAGACUCCUACGGGAGGCAGCAGUGGGGAAUAUUGGACAAUGGGCGCAAGCCUGAUCCAGCCAUACCGCGUGGGUGAAGAAGGCCUUCGGGUUGUAAAGCCCUUUUGUUGGGAAAGAAAAGCAGCAGGUUAAUACCCCGCUGUUCUGACGGUACCCAAAGAAUAAGCACCGGCUAACUUCGUG
rnacentral:rRNA from 1 species